rnacentral:rRNA from 1 species
AUCCAGAGAUGGAUAGUUCCCUUCGGGGACGCAGUGACAGGUGCUGCAUGGCUGUCGUCAGCUCGUGUCGUGAGAUGUUCGGUUAAGUCCGGCAACGAGCGCAACCCACAUCCUUAGUUGCCAGCAGUUCGGCUGGGCACUCUAGGGAAACUGCCCGUGAUAAGCGGGAGGAAGGUGUGGAUGACGUCAAGUCCUCAUGGCCCUUACGGGUUGGGCUACACACGUGCUACAAUGGCAGUGACAAUGGGUUAAUCCCUAAAACUGUCUCAGUUCGGAUUGGGUCUGCAACUCGACCCCAUGAAGUCGGAAUCGCUAGUAAUCGCGUAACAGCAUGACGCGGUGAAUACGUUCCCGGGCCUUGUACACACCGCCCGUCACACCAUGGGAGUUGGUUCUACCCGACGGCCGUGCGCUAACCCUUUUGGGAGGCAGCGGACCACGGUAGGAUCAGCGACUGGGGUGAAGUCGUAACAAGGUAGCCGUAGGGGAACCUGCGGCUGGAUCACCUCCUUU